GGUGACUAUAUGUUUAACGGCCGCGGUAUUUUGACCGUGCGAAGGUAGCGUAAUCACUUGUCUUUUAAAUGGAGACCUGUAUGAAUGGCAUAACGAGGGCUUAACUGUCUCCUCUUUCCGGUCAAUGAAAUUGAUCUCCCCGUGCAGAAGCGGGGAUAAAAACAUAAGACGAGAAGACCCUAUGGAGCUUUAGACACCAAGACAGACCAUGUUAAGUACCCCUAAACAAAGACCCGAACUUAGUGGCAUCCUGUCCCAAUGUCUUCGGUUGGGGCGACCAUGGGGUAGCACAAAACCCCCAUGCGGAAUGGGAGAACAAGCCCAACACUCUUUUCCCAUACUCCCACAGACAAGAGCUACAUCUCUAAUCAACCAGAAUCUCUGACCUUUCAUGAUCCGGCCUUAGCCGAUCAACGAACA
rnacentral:rRNA from 1 species